GAGUUAGCGAUGAUUUUAAAAAUAAUUUUUUGUUCUGAUUUAAUUUGAACAUGAUAAACCUCUUAUUACAAUCAUAGAAUCUAAGCUC
rnacentral:snoRNA from 1 species